GGCGUAAGGGCGCGCAGGCGGUUUCUUAAGUCUGAUGUGAAAGCCCCCGGCUCAACCGGGGAGGGUCAUUGGAAACUGGGAAACUUGAGUGCAGAAGAGGAGAGUGGAAUUCCACGUGUAGCGGUGAAAUGCGUAGAGAUGUGGAGGAACACCAGUGGCGAAGGCGACUCUCUGGUCUGUAACUGACGCUGAGGAGCGAAAGCGUGGGGAGCGAACAGGAUUAGAUACCCUGGUAGUCCACGCCGUAAACGAUGAGUGCUAAGUGUUAGGGGGUUUCCGCCCCUUAGUGCUGCAGCUAACGCAUUAAGCACUCCGCCUGGGGAGUACGGUCGCAAGACUGAAACUCAAAGGAAUUGACGGGGGCCCGCACAAGCGGUGGAGCAUGUGGUUUAAUUCGAAGCAACGCGAAGAACCUUACCAGGUCUUGACAUCCUCGGACGACCCUAGAGAUAGGGCUUUCCCUUCCGGGACACAGAGAGACGUGGGGCGUGUGUGUCUCCUCCUCUCGUGUCGAGAUG
rnacentral:rRNA from 1 species